rnacentral:rRNA from 1 species
UGGGGAAUAUUGCACAAUGGGCGCAAGCCUGAUGCAGCGACGCCGCGUGAGGGAUGAAUGCCUUCGGGUUGUAAACCUCUUUCAGCAGGGAAGAAGCGAAAGUGACGGUACCUGCAGAAGAAGCGCCGGCUAACUACGUGCCAGCAGCCGCGGUAAUACGUAGGGCGCAAGCGUUGUCCGGAAUUAUUGGGCGUAAAGAGCUCGUAGGCGGUUUGUCGCGUCUGCUGUGAAAGCCCGGGGCUCAACCCCGGGUCUGCAGUGGGUACGGGCAGACUAGAGUGCAGUAGGGGAGACUGGAAUUCCUGGUGUAGCGGUGAAAUGCGCAGAUAUCAGGAGGAACACCGAUGGCGAAGGCAGGUCUCUGGGCUGUAACUGACGCUGAGGAGCGAAAGCAUGGGGAGCGAACAGG